UACGUAGGGUGCGAGCGUUGUCUGGAAUUAUUGGGCGUAAAGGGUGCGUAGGCGGUUGGGUAAGUCUGAUGUGAAAUCUCACAGCUUAACUGUGAAACUGCAUUGGAUACUAUCCAACUCGAGGAAUGGAGGGGAGACUGGAAUACUUGGUGUAGCAGUGAAAUGCGUAGAUAUCAAGUGGAACACCAGUGGCGAAGGCGAGUCUCUGGACAUUUCCUGACGCUGAGGCACGAAAGCCAGGGGAGCAAACGGG
rnacentral:rRNA from 1 species